rnacentral:rRNA from 1 species
CCUACGGGGGGCAGCAGUAGGGAAUCUUCCACAAUGGGCGAAAGCCUGAUGGAGCGACGCCGCGUGAGGGAUGAAGGUCUUCGGAUCGUAAACCUCUGUCAGCAGGGAAGAACGGUCACUGUGCUAAUCAGCAGUGAAUUGACGGUACCUUAGGAAUAAGCCUCGGCUAACUACGUGCCAGCAGCCGCGGUAAUACGUAGGAGGCAAGCGUUAUCCGGAAUGACUGGGCGUAAAGGGUGCGUAGGUGGUUCAGCAAGUUAGUAGCGUAACUCCGGGGCUCAACCUCGGCACUACUACUAAAACUGUUGGACUUGAGUGCAGGAGGGGCAACUGGAAUUCCUAGUGUAGCGGUGGAAUGCGUAGAUAUUAGGAGGAACACCAGUGGCGAAGGCGAGUUGCUGGACUGUAACUGACACUGAGGCACGAAAGCGUGGGGAGCAAACAGGAUUAGAUACCCCUGUAGUC